rnacentral:rRNA from 1 species
UACGAAGGGGGCUAGCGUUGCUCGGAAUCACUGGGCGUAAAGCGUACGUAGGCGGAUCGUUAAGCCAGGGGUGAAAGCCUGGAGCUCAACUCCAGAACUGCCUUCGAUACUGGGGAGCUCGAGUCCGGGAGAGGUGAGUGGAACUGCGAGUGUAGAGGUGAAAUUCGUAGAUAUUCGCAAGAACACCAGUGGCGAAGGCGGCUCACUGGCCCGGUACUGACGCUGAGGUGCGAAAGCGUGGGGAGCAAACAGG